CUGAAGCAAUUGAAGCUGUCCUCAGGGUCAGAGGUCACAGGUCUUAAAGUUUCUUGGUUCUUACCUAGAAAAAAAGGGGAGGGGACCUAUUUUCAGUGGGCAAGCAAAUCAGCUCCAUAACUGACAAGGACUUGCAAACCUUAGAGUUGGACAAUGCUGCUUGGCUCGCCAGGUUAUCCUGGAUUGCUUGAAGACUCCAGGAAGUAAAGCUUGUCUGAGACUGAAGCCACAGGGACAGGAGCCGUAGGAAGAUCCGGAAACCGGCACUCUUUGGUUUUGAAUCGCUUCCCGAAUGGUAACGGGGCCAGGGAGACAGCUCACUCUUUGUAGGCAAAGGCCUCUUCUAACCUGACAACCUGAGUUUGAUCUCCGCGAUGGCGGCUGGGUGGCACUUGGUGGAAGGAAAGACCUGACUCCCACACACAAAAUAAAUAAAUAAAUAAAUGUAAGGGUGAAAGGUGAAUUAUGGACCUGUGAUGGCCAAUAAUAAAGUACAGAUCUAUAGAAAAUGA